GGUUAAUAUUCCUGCACUUUUCUAUAGUGCGAUGUGGGGACGGAGAAGGUUAGGUCUACCGGGCGUUGGUUGUCCCGGGGAAAGGCGGUAGGCAUGGGUCUUAGGCAAAUCCGGGACCCUUUAUGCCGAGCACCGAGACGAGCCCUUUUGGGCGAAGUGACUGACACCACGCUUCCAGGAAAAGCCACUAAGCUUCAGCUAUGGAAAAACCGUACCGUAAACCGACACUGGUAGGCAGGGUGAGAAUCCCAAGGCGCUUGAGAGAACUCGGGUGAAGGAACUAGGCAAAAUGGCACCGUAACUUCGGGAGAAGGUGCGCCCUUUGGCGUGGUCACAUGCGUGACUGAGCGUUGAAGGGUCGCAGUAACCUGGCCGCUGCGACUGUUUAUCAAAAACACAGCACUCUGCAAACACGAAAGUGGACGUAUAGGGUGUGACGCCUGCCCGGUGCUGGAAGGUUAAUUGAUGGGGUCAGCCGCAAGGCGAAGCUCUUGAUCGAAGCCCCAGUAAACGGCGGCCGUAACGAUAACGGUCCUAAGGUAGCGAAAUUCCUUGUCGGGUAAGUUCCGACCUGCACGAAUGGCGUAACGACAGCGGCGCUGUCUCCACCCGAGACUCAGUGAAAUUGAAUUCGCUGUGAAGAUGCAGCGUUCCCGCGGCAAGACGGAAAGACCCCGUGAACCUUUACUAUAGCUUUACACUGAACGUUGAGUUCUUCUGUGUAGGAUAGGUGGGAGGCUUUGAAGCGCAGACGCCAGUUUGCGUGGAGCCAUCCUUGAAAUACCACCCUGAAGUGCUUGACGUUCUAACCUAGGCCCGUAAUCCGGGUCAGGGACCGUGUAUGGUGGGUAGUUUGACUGGGGCGGUCUCCUCCCAAAGAGUAACGGAGGAGCACGAAGGUACGCUCAGCGCGGUCGGACAUCGCGCACUGUGUGCAAUGGCAUAAGCGUGCUUGACUGCGAGAUCGACGGAUCAAGCAGGUACGAAAGUAGGUCAUAGUGAUCCGGUGGUUCUGUAUGGAAGGGCCAUCGCUCAACGGAUAAAAGGUACUCCGGGGAUAACAGGCUGAUACCGCCCAAGAGUUCAUAUCGACGGCGGUGUUUGGCACCUCGAUGUCGGCUCAUCACAUCCUGGGGCUGUAGCCGGUCCCAAGGGUAUGGCUGUUCGCCAUUUAAAGUGGUACGCGAGCUGGGUUCAGAACGUCGUGAGACAGUUCGGUCCCUAUCUGUCGUGGGCGUUGGAGAUUUGAGGGGGGCUGCUCCUAGUACGAGAGGACCGGAGUGGACGUUCCGCUGGUGUUCGGGUUGUCAUGCCCAUGGCAUUGCCCGGUAGCUAUGAACGGAAGUGAUAACCGCUGAAAGCAUCUAAGCGGGAAGCACGCCCCAAGAUGAGAUCUCCCGAGAGCUUGACUCUCCUUAAGGCACCAUGAAGACUACGUGGUUGAUAGGUCAGGUGUGGAAGUGCAGCAAUGCAUUGAGCUAACUGAUACUAAUGAGCCGUGAGGCUUGACCAA
rnacentral:rRNA from 1 species